rnacentral:lncRNA from 12 species
CUAACUGACUCUCUUCUCCAGCCUCUUUUUAUUCUUUCUCUCAACCUGUCACAGAAGCAGCAUUGGAUGGGACGUGAAGGGCACCGUGGGAUAAAGGACGCCCCUGUACUAUCUGCAGGAGUCUGUGAUCUGCUC